UACGUAGGGCGCAAGCGUUAAUCGGAAUUACUGGGCGUAAAGCGUGCGCAGGCGGUUAUGCAAGACAGAUGUGAAAUCCCCGGGCUUAACCUGGGAACCGCAUUUGUGACUGCAUAGCUGGAGUACGGCAGAGGGGGAUGGAAUUCCGCGUGUAGCAGUGAAAUGCGUAGAUAUGCGGAGGAACACCGAUGGCGAAGGCAGUCCCCUGGGCCUGUACUGACGCUCAUGCACGAAAGCGUGGGGAGCAAACAGG
rnacentral:rRNA from 1 species